GUUUCCGUAGUGUAGUGGUUAUCACAUGCGUUUUACGCGCGCAAGGUCCCCAGUUCACUCCUGGGCGGGAACA